rnacentral:lncRNA from 1 species
CAGAAACACCCUCUGAUACUCAGUGUGUCAGUCACACCGGGAUUCAUUCACUGAGUUCCGGGAGCAAGGCAGCUUUUCAAGGCUGGGCACUAAACAGGGGGAGCUUUGUGAGUGCCUAGACUCCUCUGCCGGCCACCUGCUCUUCCUCUCCUUGGCUUCCACGAAGAAAGCUGCAUGAGAGCAGGGAAUUGCUUUGUCCAAUGCUAAUCACUAAAGCUUAGAAUACUGCUUGUUACAUGGGCCAGAAGUCAAGAAUAGGAGAGCAGCAGAAAACCACUAAAUAUGACAGCCAGCUUCACAUGGUUGGGGACCUCUGGCUGGUGAUGUUACCUGCCACAGGAUGUGCCCUGCCCAAUCAGCUUGCCAAGUCUAGCUUGUGCACUGGUUCCUGAGUUCUUGUCCUGUGCCCAAGAAGAAUGAGGAUGUGCUGACCAUUGAAGGAGUCUUGUUCUGUUGACCAGGCUGGAAUGCUGUGGUGUGAUCUCGCCUCAUUUCAACCUCCACCUCCCAGGUUCAAGCGAUUCUCCUGCCUCAGCCUCCCGAGUAGCUGAGACUACAGAGCCACCUCUUAGUUGGACUAUUUCACUGCAACAGUCCCCUUCAGCUGAUGCUGAGUCUAUGGACCGAUUCCGGUCUGAGAACUGGGAAGGAGCUCUAGCUCUCCAAACAGGGUAACUCUAUUGUAGAAGUUGCUAUAGAGUCUUUCAACAAGGCAGGAACCACCUCAUCAGGUUAGGAAAAUGAGAUAUUUAAACUCACAGUGGGCUGUGAAUUGAGAAGUCAUGUGAAUCCUAAAAGUUCUCCAAUAUCCCUUCAUUUUAAUUAGUAGGUUCUAUUCUUUCCCAAUACUAACCUUUAGGGUUUAUGUAAGAGAUCUAAUGAGACUAUGAAUUAAUAGACAUCGGAAUGUGGCAGCAUACUGCAUCAAAUGAGGGUUUUGUUUCUAGCUUUCUCAGAACAGUGGCUGCAAAAGUUAAGAAAUUCAUAGAAAGUCCCUAGUUUUCAGUAAAUGGCUGAUACGGUUUGGCUGUGUCCCCGCCCAAAUCUCAUCUUGAAUUGUAGUUCCCCUAAUCCCCACAUGUGGUGGGAGGGACCUGGUGGGAGGAAAUUGGAUCAUGGGGGUGGUUACCCUCAUGUUGUUUUUGUGAUAGUGAGUGAGUUCUCACAAGACCUGAGGAUUUUAUAAGGGGCUUUUCCCCCUUUUGCUGGGGACUUCUCCUUGCUGCUGCCAUGUGAAGGACAUGUUUGCUUCCCCUUCUGCCAUGAUUGUAGGUUUCCUGAGGCCUCCUCAGCCACGCUGAACUGUGAGUCAAUUAAAUGUCUUUCCUAUAUAAAUUACCCAGUUUGGGGUAUGUCCUUAUUAGCAGUGUGAGAACAGACUAAUACAAUGCCUGAACCAAUAAACUACAAAUUUAGCUUAUAAUUUUCCUUUUUAAAUCUUUCAUGUGUUCUUACAAGGAAAGUCUUCAGGGCUAGGUGCACUGGCUUAUUCCUGUAAUCCCAGCACUUUGGGAGGCUAAGGCAGGUGGUUUGCUUGAGCUCAGGAGCUUGAGACCAGCCUGAGCAACAUGGCAAAACCCCACCUCUACAAAAAAUACAAAAAUUAACCAGGUGUGGUGGUGCACACCUGUAGUCCCAGCUAUUCAGGAGGCUGAGGUGGGAGGAUCACUUGAUUCCAAGAGGUUGAGGCUUCAGUGAACAGCAAUCAUGCCACUGCAUUGCAGCCUGGGCAACAGAGUGAGACCCUAUCUCAAAAACAAAAAAAAAAAAGAAAGAAAAAAAGAAAAAGAAAUAAUGCCUUCAGCUCAUAGUCUUUGAGACCUUCAAGUCUUUCAUACACUUAUAUAGCAGCAGAGCCUGGGUGUUCUAAAGCCUUGCCUUCUAUUGUACCUGAUCCCAGGUAAUGAAACAUAAUAAUUUAGCUAUCUGUUUUGCUCCCAAGUGCCAUUAGCUGUCCAAGAUAUACCCCUUUAAAGGAGGUGAAUUUUCACUAUUCAAUGUCUAACGAGGAGAGAUACACAAUUUUUAGUCCUCUAUUCCCCCAAGUUGCUACUGACAACAACCACUUCAGUUCGGAGUUAGUCACAUGCCAUGAAACCAACUCUGACUGACUUUAACUAAAAACAAAUUCAUUAAAAGGGCUGAUGGUAGCUUACAGAAUCACCAGGUGGGUUGGCUGAAUAAAGAGGCAUCAAAUCCCUUUACGAUCUAACUCUUGCCUAUAUAUUUGAAUUUAAUGUUCACAAUUCUCCUUUAUGUACAUUGCACUCUAGUUCUGGAAUAAUUCAAUUCCCAAAUGUGCUAUGCUGUCACACCUGUAUGCUUUCCCAUAAGCUAUACUUUUUGCUUGAAAUGAUACUUUCCUACUUUUAAGCUCUUAAUCUACUACUUUUUUUCAUGCAUUACCUUCUUUAUCAAGUAUUCUAUGAUAAUCCUAACUAGAACUGCCAUUGAGAAUCUCUCAUGAUCUUAUACCCAUUACAAUACAUGUUAUCAUAUUGUACAUUAUAGUACAUUGUGCUAUGCAUCAUAUGCUAUAUAAAUAUACUAAUUACAAUGAGGUAUGAUAAUUUAAACAAAUUUGAUUCCCCUACUUGACUUUGCAUAGCUUAUCUCCUGUUCUAGCAAAUAUUUGAAAUGUAGCAAAUAUUCAAUUAAUAUUGAAUGAGAAGACAAACGAACCAAUAAUCAUUUUUUGGAAAAGAUAAUUUAUGAAUUCACAGUAACAGGUAACAUGUUACUGUUACAAGUAUUUCUUUAAAGCAUAUAAAAUUUUCUCUAUCUGAUCUUAAAUCUCACCUGUUUCUUCAGGAUCCUCACUUUCUUGUUGGGGAGAUGACCUAGAGCUUGUUGGUAUCUUGUUCUAAGUUAAUUUUACUCACCAUUGCUUACCGCACUGAACCUUUCCUUUGAAGAGUAUUUCUCACACUCAAUAAAAUGGAAAAAUUUAUCAUCCCUAAGCUCUUAUCAUCCAAAAACAUCUGACCAAAUAUCUCCCUAACACUGAGGCUAAGUGUCCUGACAAGCAGUUGCAAAGAUUUUCAUGAAUCUUCUUUUUCUCUGCCAAGUGGGAGUCCACAAAGGCUAUAUAAAACAUGAACAGACAAUGGGGAGGAAAAGACAAAGACUACGCUGGGAAGUGGGUGAAAAGAAAAACCAUGAUCAAAUGAGUCUGAUUAAUGCCCAGUGGCAGAUGCAAAGCAGUGGAGUCAUGGUCAGAGCAUUCCUAUGUCCGUAAAAAUUUUGGAUGUGUUCACCACAGGUUGCUUUUGUGAUUUAAACUCUCUACUAUUGGAUUAAUACAGUUACACCAUUUAAAACAUUGCAUAAUGCUAAAACAAUGCCAUAAAAUAUAAUCAUUCCCAAUUGCAGCCCCUACUCACAUAGUCUUCCUCCGCAAAAAUCUCUUCUGAUGUUUUCGGCUGAUUUUUUUUCUUGGCAUUUAGCAUGUCAGAAUUCCUAAGUAAUACACAAGUAUUUAUCAUUAAAUCAACAUUAGACAUCAUCUCUGGAUUUCCUGUAAUGUUAGAUGAAGAUUAAGCUGUCUUCUAUGUCAUCUCCUCUGCUUCCCCUCCCUUAUUUUCUUGAUUGCUUUAUUAUAAUUGUUUGUUAAAUAAAAAUACAGCUUAUACAUUAUCCUGACUAUAACUGGAACUGAGCAUUAAAUUGAAUCUUUAUUAGAAUUUAAAAAUAUUUAUUAAAUUAACAAAUGCCUUGUUUUUACAUUUGCUUCAUUUAUUGGUACCUAAUUGGUUAAGUCUCUAUAAACUCCAAAUACCUCCAGGUACAGUUUCCCACAAGGCCAAUCACAUCACGUAAUUUAUUGGUUUUACUUUGUGUAUUGUUUCACUCUGUGUGCAUAUGAAUUAUACUCACACACAC